rnacentral:rRNA from 1 species
AGUAGGGAAUAUUGGACAAUGGGUGCGAGCCUGAUCCAGCCAUGCCGCGUGCAGGAAGAAGGCUUUCUGAGUUGUAAACUGCUUUUGCCAGGGGAUAAAAUGACCGUGCGCGGUUAAUUGAAGGUACCUGGUGAAUAAGCCACGGCUAACUACGUGCCAGCAGCCGCGGUAAUACGUAGGUGGCAAGCGUUGUCCGGAUUUAUUGGGUUUAAAGGGUGCGUAGGCGGUUCCAUAAGUCAGUGGUGAAAUCCGGCAGCUUAACUGUCGAUGUGCCAUUGAUACUGCGGAACUUGAGUACAGACGAGGUAGGCGGAAUUGACGGUGUAGCGGUGAAAUGCUUAGAUAUCGUCAAGAACACCGAUAGCGAAGGCAGCUUACUAGGCUGUAACUGACGCUGAGGCACGAAAGUGUGGGGAUCAAA